rnacentral:misc_RNA from 1 species
UAAUAAGUGUUUUAUGGCACUUUUUUAAAUCCAUAUCCACCUUGUGUGCAAUGUCAGUCGUUCUCAUUCAUGGGAGCGACCAAACAUCAACUUAUUCUUUAACUCUUUGUCUGAAAAAUAUUAUGAAUAAAGUAAUUCAAAAUA